AUUGUCACUUGACAGUGAAGAUUGGCAAAAUACAAUUACUUUAGUUAUGCCCUAGUUCACUAGAAUGCCUAUACUAUCCACUAGAUUGGCUUAGGUAAUAGAUUUCAGUAAAUCACAAAGAUAAUUGUAUUUGGAAACUGUCAAAAAUAUUUUUUGAUACACUUUUAUUUUAUUGCCGAUGCUGACUGUACUUUUUCUCCUUUGCAUGUCUAUCAAGUAGUUAUCGAGACCUCUCUAAUGAGCCUAAACUUAAUGUGUGUAUGUUUUUCCAUCAAAGAGUUUUCCGACUGCAUCAUCGGAUCAGCUCGAUGUUAGCGUAUGAUUGCAAGGGAUUUUGUCACGCAGUGACGAUUUCACCCCCGUAAUGAGAUCUAAUAGUAAUAAUGAUGUAGUAGACCUACACCACUACAUCACAUUUAAAUAUAGUUUGCACAUCAACCUGGCCUCGUCUGAUAGUGGCGAUGCCAGGAAGAUGUUGCAACCACCUAUGUUGGUAGAUUUGUCAUCGGAAAUAUGGAAGUAUGCGAAAUUUCAGCUCAAUCAGACACCCGCAAGUGGUUCAAAUUUAAGUUACAAGAUUUGAUGCACUAUAUGUAUACAAAGAGAUAUUGGUAUAUACGCAGUGAAGCUAAAUAAGUGUAAAAAAGAUGCAACCACAACAGAAGUAAUGGUACAGUAGGUUCACUUGCCUUAGACUUCACAAGUUAGGUAAGUUAGUACGGUAAAAUACGGAGUGAUACCUGGCCUAAAUAAUAAAACUUAAGGACUACUAAAUAAUAAAACGCAAGAUACAGAUUUACUGAAACCUGUAAACCUCUAGUACAUACUAGUAAUUGAAGCAAUUAUCGACAUUUACAAGUAACCCUGCAUUAGAAUGAGUGCUGAGAUCAUAGUUAAAAUACUUAACGUCUUUCUCCGGAAAAAGGGACCCUAGGUCCUUGCGAUCAAAUUAGAAAACAGACCUUAUGGAAAGGUAGGCAUGAUUACGUUUCGAAGCUAACAAGGGUUCUCAAGGGUCUUUUUCUCGGAGAAAGACACAUUUAAUGUCCUAAAUUAGUAAGAAAAUACAGAUCUUUUUCAAUGUCUUCGAAUGUAGCGAUGUUAUAGGAAUUUGAAGCAUUUUAAGUAGAUGCUAGUCUGCUUGAAAGAUUUAAACGUUCAAUGAAACAUUGUAAGGGCUUUUUAAAUGUCAGAAACGUACCUACUGUUGCCUUUUGCUCCAAUAAAGGCGUAAUUAGAGUGACAGGGAUAGGUGCCCACAAUUUGCAAUCUUCGAUGUUUAUGGUAGAGCCUCUGAUAUAUGGCGUAGGUGCUCACACAAAUCACACGGAAUAGACCUCUAUUCUCAAGGCGUUAGAGUGCAUGGUGACUGAACAUAAAUAUGGGGCAUCAUCUAUGAAAAGGGACCUUAUGUCGAUGGCGCUUACGCCGCACAGCGUCGCGCGGCAUUGUAUACAUAUAUCGGACCAUCGAUAAUAAUGGCGUAAGCGCCAUCGACAAUAAGAUUCCUUUUCAUAGAUCAUGUCACAUAUUCGGGCUGUAAGUUUUAGAUAUAAAAUCUUUCAAACAGACACGUUAUUUAACAUUUAUCAUUAAAAUACGUUGACGAUCGAUCGAGACAAUGAUUAUGAGAUUUUGUACUUCAAAUUCAUUAUACCUUUUAAAGUGACCCAAUGACGUUAAGAAAACUAUUACUAAAAUAUAAGAUUAAAUAAAUGUCUCCAAUAAAUGUGUAGCUGCCUAGAAAAGGGCCCUUAGUGCAAUCGCCGUACACGUCAAGCAUCAUUAUUAUUUUAGUAUUUUGCACUAUGGACCCUUUUCUGAAAACUUCAUAAAAUAAACAUCGAGUUUAAAAGCUCAUUUUCAAAUAUAAAACCAUAUUUCCAUAGGUAUAAUCAAAUUAAUUUCUAUAGGUAGGUAUAGAUAUUCAAAUAUUGUACCAACGUAUUCCAAUCUGAAUUUUAAUCUUUACCCUACAAUCUAAUAUUAGAUUUAAAAGCAUUAAUUCAAGGCCUAUGAAGGUACAUUCCCUUAUAGCCAACAUGAUAAUAAUAAUAGGAUAUCUUCUUGCAACAAAACGCACCAAAAUAUAGUCUGGCAAACCCAAUUUUUCAGUAAAAUAAAAAAAAACUAUAGACUCAUCCCUUUUUGCGUGGUAGUACUAGCAUAAGACAAAGACAGUAUGAUUUCUAUAUAUUUGUUUGAAAUGAGAGAUUCCCUGGCCAAACUAUAAUGCGAUGCGUCUUUAUUUAGAACAAUCCGUACAAUUUUUUUUAUGUGCACCAUAUUUACUUAUUUACCAUUUAUUUUAUUCCUUAAUUCCAGCCACAUACGUUGAUAAAAAUUAAAUGAGAUUACUCCUUUUACAUAUAUCCAUCUUGUCCCGCUAACUGGUGCGUUUUAAAACUAACUACGAAACAUCUUCGCUAGUCUCAACAAUCUACUGAACCUCAACAUAUAACAUCUUGAGUCGGCCAUUUCCAAAUAUUUUAUGCUUUUCUUACUUUGAAUCGUUCAAUACUUUCUGUGAUUUAUUUUUAACGUGUCUCAAAAAUACGUUGAUAAAAUUAUUUUUGAAUGUACAGUCAAAGAAUUAAUUUCCGACGCAUUUUGUUGAGAAUGUUUUUUGUAACCCCAGAUUGAAAGUGUAAAAGGCUUAAAAUCAAAAAUUUGGAAAUCGCCCGGAUACUUUCCAUUAAUUACAUGGAACUGUAAAAUCCAUCAGAAAGACAAAAUUUAUCAAUUCCAUGGAUUAAUUAGAAGUUUGGUACCCCAUCAUUAUGCACAGUUCACAUUAUACAGGGUGUCCAUAAAUAUGGUUUUUUAAGUUUUAGAGUAUAUUUUUAGGACAUGCUGAUUUACCCAAUAUUUGCUUAGCUUUUGUUAAAGACACUUAAUACACCUUUGGCAUGAUAGCAACAUUAAAUUCCUAAAAGAUAAUUAGGUACCUACUGCAUUUAUAAUGCAAAAUCACAGUUUUACACUUUAGGCAACUUCACCAAGGAAUGACAAUUGCAGGUAGGUAGGUAUUUUUUUUCUAUACUCAAGCUCAAUGAAACGGGUCAUUAUGUAUGUAAUUACCAAUAAGUGACCCACUUUCAUUGCUCUCGAGUGGUUUUUCUUUCUCAUAAUCGUUAGCAUUUCCUAUCCCUAUUAUAAAAUUACAAGGUUUUUUAAUUUAUUUUUCCGUCUGUAAUUUUAAGAAGGUGUCAAUUGGCUAACGAUUCCGAGAAAAAAAACAACAAACGGAAAAAAGACUAGAUUUUUUCCUACAUUAAAUACUACACAUACCAAUGGUUUGGCAAGACCAUAAGUUAUAACAUGAACUGCACAAAAUUUACAUAACAUUCGCGUGGUUUGACCAUACCGAUCACAGUUUUCGUUAAAUAUAACCUAUCACAGACUACGUAAUACUUAUGCUUACUACGCCAUAAUAAAUGCAUAAUAAAUACGUUAUAUAUGAGUACAAAUGAUUAUACAAACACAAGGUAGUAAACGCAAGUAUAAAUAAAACAGAUACUUAAUACUGAUGGUAGUAAUUAAAUCACAGUAAUUGUAUUUACUCAGUAAUUAAUUUUUUACUAGUAGGAUAUCAUGUCACAGUUUUACAUAUGGUUAGAAUGAUUUCAGUUGCAUUGGAGUUUUAGAAGUAUAUUUUCAUUUUCCCUUGUAUAAUAAAAAUGUAUAUUUGAAAAUGGACAACAAACUUUGCAACACAUUUUUAAAAAUAGUUACACAUGUCUGUGUCUACAUUGCAAACAUCGUCUCAUAUCAUACUCGCGAUUACCACCAAGUUAAAUAAAGCGUAAUGUACACAAAUGUUAUAAUUACAAGUUAAUAAUAUAAAGAUCAAUUAAUAACCAACAGGGCAUUUUCGUAAGAUCUGUCAAUUUCAUCACUAGAUCCCAAAACAAGGUUUUGCUUUCGAUACUUUCAUCUCACACACUUUAUGCAGUAGACACCUACACGUCAUCAGUUUUACAAGCUUAACUUAAAACUGUUUUUAUACUACAAAUCGAAAUUAAUAUCAUAUACGAAAGAAAACCUGACCAACGCAUCCAGUGCCCAGGGUGCAUUAUUUUAGAAAAAUAAUUUAACUUGUUUCUAUAAUUGUUGUAAUAUUUCUAGAAGUAAUUAGCAGGUAAUAAAAUGUAAAAUCAAAUUCAUAAUAUCGGACUGAUAAUUUCGAAAGCAACACCCUGUAUUUUUUCGUCCGUCAAGUACAUUGUGACAUUAACAUCUAAAAACAAUUGACAGAUGACAGGCAGAUGUAGUGAUAUUUAAAUUCAAUUGAUUCCAAUUGCUAACUAAAAUCAAUUUUACCAUUCUAAUCCUUUCUUAAUCUAACAGAUGGCGGUCUUCACAUUUAUCUUAAUUCCCUUGUCUAUAUUAACUCUAUUAUUUAAUCUACGCCUACAAGUGCAGUACAUUCUAGAAAUAUAAUAUAAUACUCGUACAAUAAUAGUUAAUUAGUAAACAAUACAAUAAUUACAUUAAUUACAUAAGAGGUAGGGUCAUAAUUCAUAAUAUCUACAGGCUGUCUCAAAAAUUGUGGUCAUACCUUACGGUUGGGCUAUAAUGAGCUAAUUUUUACAAUUUUUAUGACUGCAGAGAUUCGCAUGUUUAUUUUAACCCUUUUUCUGGCCGCGCCAAUCUACAGUUUCCCCAAAAAAUCAAAUAUAUUCCAAUCAGUCCAGCUUUGAUUAUCCAUUUGAAAACAAGUCACAUUUCCCGAAGCAAUUUAAUUUGAACCUUAAAUCGCAAUGCUAAAGUUGAAAAUCUAUUGGCAGGUAUUGUGGUCGAUAAACCGUAUUACCUGGAAAAAGAAUAAAAAUGGUCCACAAAGAGCUCGAGUUUAUAACUCCUUAUUUCGUCUCAUCCUAUGAACUCACGCCUAUCGUGCAGCGCGGCAUCUUCAACCUUAUUGGAAUGCACGAAGGUUUAUAUUGGGCUGUAGCCGUAGCCGCGCGGGUCAGUUGACGUCUUUGGGAGUCAAAGAAAUAUUAGGACCACCAUAAAAAAAAUAUAGUUCGUUUUUUUAGCAUUAGAAAGAACUUGCAAGAAGGUAAGCGAUCUUGACAUGUCUUUUAAUUGAAAAACGCUUUUUAAAAAUCAGUAACUGUUCUAUUACUUAUGAAAGCAGAAGAAUAUAAAUGAUCGUAUUAGAUUCAUAACUGUUACAUACUUGCCGUAACUUAUUUUUAAAAUGUGUUUUUCAAUUAAAAGACACAUCAAGAUUGUUUACCUUAUUUCUAAUGCUAAAAAAACGAACUAUAAUUCAGAAAUAUUGAAAUAUAAACUCCCGCUUUCACCCUUGCCAUUAUUUAUGAGACACCCUGUAUAAAGGAACACGAGUUAUAAACCUUUGAAUUACACAAUAUUAUUGUUUGCAAAAAAUCGUGUGUUCUGUGAAAGGAAAGGUCAUCCGUUUUAGUAUUUUAGGCUAGGGACAGUCGCCAUCAGAUAUAUCGGAGCGGCUAAAGCGCUCACAAAUAUCUGAACACGCCUCUAUUGUCAGGGCGUUAGAGUGCGUGUUCAGAUAUUGUGAACACCUUGCCCGCUCCGAUAUAUCUGAUGGCGACUGUACGUACCACCCGAUUUGUUUACAAUUUGAUUUUAUGUUUGCGAACUAUACAUAACUAAUAUACUGUUAUCAUAUAACCAUUAGUCAUAUCGCCGCUGGAAAGCAAUAAUGCUGUAACUCGAACUACGAUUGUAUUGCGGGUUAGGGCAUUAUUGCUGUCCAGCAAAGAAAAAUUGAAUUAUAGAGUUACUGUCAUGGUUAAUUAUGUUGCAUGAACAGUACAUUUAUUUA